GGGGAUAUAGCUCAAUGGGAGAGCGCCUGCUUUGCACGCAGGAGGUUAGGGGUUCAACUCCCCUUAUCUCCACGA
rnacentral:tRNA from 1 species